CCACCGUUGGCCCCAUCUCUGAGCUUUGGGCACUCCAGAGAACAAUGUAUUGGCUUCCUCAGUGAUGUGGCUUCUUCCACGGGAGAGCACUGAACUGUGAGCCACAGUGGCCCCAUCUGGUGGCUGUCCUGCCUACUUCCCAGCCUCGUGAUCUUGGGCAAGUCAAUUCCCAUCUCUGAGCCUCAAUUUCCUCAUCCCUCUCCUGGGCUGUGGUGGAGAUGACAGGGUCCAGUGGUCAGGAAGCAGGCUGACGGCUGCAAAAUAAUUUUGGCCAGAAACAAGAGGAGUCCUGUCCGAGGAGAGCCCGGCUGGCUGACUGGAAUCCCAAGACAUGCCAAGGUCCCUGGGAAAUGACAGGACACCCAGAUCUGCUGGGAGCAGAGUUCUCAUAGGGUCCCAGCUGAGCCCUGGAACUCCCCAGACCCCCUCUGCCACUCCAUCUCUGCGUCAGCCCAGCACCUGUGCCCUAUCCGGCUUUGGCCACCAUCUCCACCCUGGGGAGGGGGAGCAUAACCCCCUCCAGCCUGAGGUUGGCGCCAAGGUUUAGGAGCCAGCACAGAAGCCUCUGAGAGCCAUAAGGGUAGAAAAGGUUACCCGGUACUAAACCAGCCAGCCUCGGGGUGAUCUCAUCCACUUCCCAAGAUAAGCCCCCUCCCCCACCCUCUGGCCACUGGCCAACAGGUUAACAGAGAGACUCCCUCACUGGAAGCAACUCAGAGUGGCUGAAGCACAGAAGUGGUAGAGAGACAGGUCUCUAUUGCUCAGGCUGGAGUGCAGUGGCAUGAUCAUAGCUCACUGUAACCUCAAACUCCUGGGUUCAAGCGAUCCUUCUGCCUCAGCCUCCCAAGUGGCUGGAACUACAGGGGUGUGCGACCACUCCUGGCUCAUUUUGUUCAACAUUAUUUUGUUACAACAUUGAUGAAGAAAAAAAUCUAUUUCUGGCUGGGGCUACUGUCUGUGUGGAGUCUGUAGAGGACUUUCUCUGGGUACUCUGGUUUCUUCCCCCAUCCCAAAGAUGUGCAUGUUAGAUUAACUAGCUUGUCUGCAUGCUCCCAGUCUGCAUGAGUGUGAGUGUACUCAAGGCAAUGGCAUCCUGUCUAGGCCUGGUUCCCGCCUGGCGCCCUGAGCUGCUGGGAUAGGCUCCAGCCAUCCAUGACCUUGAACUGGAAUAACUGGAUAAAUAAUUCUAUUACUUGUUUUUAUUAAUCUUUCUUUCUUUCUUUUUUUUUUUUUUUUUUGAGAUGGAGUUUCACUCUUGUUGCCCACGCUGGAGUGCAAUGACACAAUCUUGGCUCACUGCAACCUCCGCCUCCUGGAUUCAAGAAAUUCUCCUGCCUCAGCCUCCUGAGCAGCUGGGAUUACAGGUGCCCACCACCAAGCCCGGCUAAUUUUUGUAUUUUUAGGAGAGACAGGGUUUCGCCAUGUUGGCCAGGCUGGUCUCAAAUCCCUGACCUCAGGUGAUCCACCUUCCCCAGCCUCCCAAAGUGCUGGGAUUACAGGUGUGAGCCACCACACCUGGCCUUGUUUCUAUUAGUCUUUCUUACACGUGUUUCAAUGUUUAAUAUGAGAAGCAUUUGGGUCUUUAUUUAGAAGUCUGAUGAUAUUUCUAUCACCAGAAAUAUGCUGUAGGAACUUAACUCUUGUUUAUGUCAAUUAGCCUAUGACAAAAUUGGUUUCCUUGUAUGUCAUUUUGCUUAAAGCUGCAAUUUCCAAGAACUACAUUAAGUGAGGACAUUAUAUAAAGACUUACUAUAUUCUAUUAGUUGUUGUCAGGCCUCUGAGCUCAAGCUAAGCCAUCAUAUCCCUUGUGACCUGCACCUAUACAUCCAGAUGGCCUGGAGCAACUGAAGAUCCAC
rnacentral:lncRNA from 1 species